UACAGAGGUCCCAAGCGUUUGUUCGGAUUCAUUGGGCGUAAAGGGUGCGUAGGUGGCGCUGUAAGUCGGGUGUGAAAUUUCGAGGCUUAACCUCGAAACUGCAUUCGAUACUGGCGGUGCUUGAGGACUGGAGAGGAGACUGGAAUUCAUGGUGUAGCAGUGAAAUGCGUAGAGAUCAUGAGGAAGACCAGUGGCGAAGGCGGGUCUCUGGACAGUUCCUGACACUGAGGCACGAAGGCCAGGGGAGCAAACGGGG
rnacentral:rRNA from 1 species